rnacentral:rRNA from 1 species
UACGGGAGGCAGCAGGGGGGAAUAUUGCACAAUGGGCGCAAGCCUGAUGCAGCCAUGCCGCGUGUAUGAAGAAGGCCUUCGGGUUGUAAAGUACUUUCAGUCGUGAGGAAGGUGUUAAGGUUAAUAACCUUAGCAAUUGACGUUAGCGACAGAAGAAGCACCGGCUAACUCCGUGCCAGCAGCCGCGGUAAUACGGAGGGUGCGAGCGUUAAUCGGAAUUACUGGGCGUAAAGGGCACGCAGGCGGUUAAUUAAGUUGGAUGUGAAAUCCCCGGGCUUAACCUGGGAAUGGCAUUCAAGACUGGUUAGCUAGAGUCUUGUAGAGGGGGUAGAAUUCCAUGUGUAGCGGUGAAAUGCGUAGAGAUGUGGAGGAAUACCGGUGGCGAAGGCGGCCCCUGGACAAAGACUGACGCUCAUGUGCGAAAGCGUGGGGAGCAAACAGGGAUUAGAU